AAAGUCGUAACAAGGUUUCCGUAGGUGAACCUGCGGAAGGAUCAUUAACACGUUUCGUUCCGAACGUUUUCUGACCUAUUCUUUAUUUCCGUGCACAUUCAACCCGGCCUCCCGACCUAUUUUGACUCAUCGGUUUCAGUACUGAUUUGUCGAUUUAGUGCCGGGCGCUGUUGGGGUUCAUAGGAGGUACAUUCGUUUCUGAAAAGAUUUAUCUUAGUACGAGACUUAAGUACCACCCUCCCAUCAGCGUUGCCACAAACCCAACCCUUGAACCUAAUUGCUCUGAACUCUUUAGUUGCGUCCUUUUCUGGAUCGACAACGAAUUAGAAACAAACAACAACUCUUAACAACGGAUAUCUUGGUUCUC
rnacentral:misc_RNA from 1 species